GCUGGCUCAUAGUUCUGCACAUGUUCCACUUAGAUGGUACUGCCCGACCUUGUGACUUCAAACCCCCCCUCCCCCACUGCAGAUGGUAACGUUCGGCGCGUUCUCAACGCCCGGCAUUUGGGUUGUUCCGUCUUUCCAAGGCACAAACUUGGGAGUUACGGUCUAGGCCGUGGGAGCCGGUGAAGCCGCCCGCCUCAUGUCCAGACGUAAAUUUGAUCUUGUUCUCGGCAAGGGCACCUUAAAGAAACGCUUGGAUCCCGCCCUUCAGGGGUCUCGGGAUAUGCUCUGAUUUCAUCCCUCUUAGAUUCGUUGAGCCUGUGUGCCCUGUGGCGCGGUGGUCAUCUCACCCGUACCUGACAAGAGCACGUGUUCUGUAGUUGUCGGCCGGACCGUGCUCUGGUGCCUGGUGGGAUCCAGUUGGCGAUGGCCGUGGUGUCCUCAGCUGGGAGAACACUGUCCUCCUCCUGAUUUUUGUGCUUUUCUAUUGAUAACUGAAAUCCGCGUUCAAAUGUCUGUCUUGUUCUCAGGUGUGGAUGCUUGAUGCUGACACAGACGCUGCGUGUUUCUUCAUGUUUAAAUAUGCAGCUUUCACUUCUCACGGCCUGCCUUUGAAUGAUACCGUACCACUUCACGCAUAGCAGGAGAGCCUUGUGAUGAAGACUUUGUGCCACGUUCUCUCCUGUUCUCGCGCUGUCCAGUUCUGUGGCAGGAGGCGACGUGGCAGGCCCAGCACCACGACCUUCGGCCAUCUGGCCAGUGUGACCCUCGGCCGGCAUCCAGGAACUGGCCUGUCAAUCCCAGCCGUGAGUGUGGUGACGGGCUGAGCCCUGGGGUCCUCCCAGGGCAUCACAGACCGGGACGUGUCUCAGGUACCCCGAGACCAUCGUCACACACUUACUCCAUUUAUGUGUAAAAUCUGCAGUACGUUGUAAUUGUUUUUGCUUUAUACCUGUCCUGUCCCCUACAGCAGGUGGGCUCACGUGGGGCUAUUUAAUUGAAAUUCCCUUCCUGAGUCCCACUAGUCGUGUUCCCCGUGCUCAGCAGCAGGUGUGGCAGGCCGCCACCACGUUGGGCUGCACUGGGAGAGCCUGUUUCUACCGUCGCAGGAAGUGCUGCUGGACGGCAAUGUUCUCAAGAGAUUGAAAACGAGAAAAAGAGGAUAUAAACUCUGCACUUCAGUGGGCGUGAGUAUUGUGCAGGGGAGGCAGUGCUGCAGCCCUGGGGACCACCCCUGAACCCUGCACGGACAUCCCCCGGAGUCCUUCAUGGACAUGCCCACCCACUCGAGUGGCAGGUUCUGCGGUGGCUGUAUUGGGACCAUGAGGUGACCCUGAUGAUGAACGCUCAGAGACCAAAUACACAAACGGACGGUGGCCAGACCACGUAUAAGAUUGAACUCUGACCCCACGAGCUACAGCCCAGGAAGCCAGCCUGUUAUCUGCGGACCAACCAGAGGAAGCCAAAAAUGCAUCCCUAAUGAAUCAUGUGGAUGACCCACUUCUAGCUGCCCACAGCUGCCCACAGCUGCCCACAGCUUCCUUGGGCCACAGCCUCCCUCCAGGGCACACCCGGAGCCUCCCUGUUCUCCACAAGGGAGCUUCCCCCCGACUCUGCCUGCCUGUGAGUUUCCAUCAAAUGCAGAUGACCCCCUUGCUGUAGCAAGCUCUGAAUAAAGAGCCUCUGCUUUUCUCCUUUGGGUGGGUUUCAUUUGUUUCCAUGCUGCCAGGUUUUAAGGAUGGUGAAGCAGAAACACAAAAGGACCGGAAUCUCUGGUCAAAGGGCAGCUGGUCUACUAGCGCAGGACCGUGUUGGGGAAAUAAGAUUAAGGGCAAAAUCUCCUUCCGAGCCAGAAAACUUCUCCACAAAGGCAGAGGAGCGAGAAAGCAGUUGUAUUACUGAACAAGCGUUUGGCUAGAACGUGGCGUGCAUCAGGGGCAAUGCGCUAAAGAGACUGCAGACAGAAAGGAAUCCUACUCCUGUGUACAGCUAAGUAGAUAUGACCCUAUUCUCCUAAGUUCGUGAGUGGAGGUUUGCAUUUGGAGUCAGCUGCCGGCUGAAGUUACACCCUGUUCUCCCAGGGGCUGGGAGACCGGGCAUUGCCUUCCUGAUGAUCUCACUUUAGAGGCACGCUCCUGGGCCCGUGAGGUGGGAGACCUGCAGGAGGCCUGUUUCACUUUUGAUCUGCAACUGCCUGUCUGCAGUCUUCUCAACACAAGAGAAAAUAAGCCUCGAUCAUAUUUGAGGCACUCUCAUUUUGAUUUUUUUUUUUAAUAAUUAGCAGCCAAACACAAUAUCCAAUGAAAGCACAGUACGGUGGGUUUUUCCUCAAGUUUGGAAGAUGCUCUCAUCUUGUAUAUUGCCACCCUCUUUGUUCUCUCCUUCUCUGAGGCUCUCCUUCUGUCUCCCUUGUCUAAAGUUUUCUUGUAUGUUGUUCAGCCUUUAUCUCCCUGUACCACACAUCUGGUUUCUAGUUCUUUAAUUCUCUCUUCCACUGCGUCCCGUCUACUGUGCCAUCCUUAUGUUAAGUUUUUUAUUUUAAUGAAUUAUAAUAGAUUUAUUUAACAUUUUUGUUUGAUUUUUAAAAAAUUCUACUUCUAAAAAAACGAUAUUUUGUUUUGUGUGUCAAGUGUGGUUCCUCACCCAUAUGCUUAAAAGAAACUGCCUCAGAUAUGAAGACGCGCAUAGUUAAAGGUGAAAGGUACGUUGUGUAGACACAAGUGAGAAAUGUAGCUGGGGUGGCAGGAUUGAUAUCAAAUAUCAGACGAAGCCAGUUUUAGUGCAAGGACUGAUGCCAGGGAUAGAGGUGAAGGGGUCCGGUGAUCAGGAGGACAUCAAAAUCCUGCAUGUGUAUGUCCUAACACCAGAACUUCAACAUACAUGAGGAAAAUCCUGGAAGAAUGGAGUGUUGAAGUAAACACGUGCCCAGUCGUGGCUGGAGACUUGUGCGCUGCCUCUCGGUGAUCAGUAGAAGCAGAUGGCCGUCCCGGGGCCUGGAGAGCAGCACGCCCUGUCCUUCGUAUGGGGUUGCACCAUCUGGUCAGGAGCUGGCUGCCCAGCCUGUUUGGGCUUGUCGCCAUGGUCAUCUCUGUCUGCGGGCUGCAGUGGCCUCACAGUUACAGUGGGGUGAGGUGCUGGAGGGGGGGGUCUUUCUCAGAGCUCCUGGGCCCCCUCAGCUUUUAGCUGUCCCUAUAGGAUGGACCCAUCGAGAGGGUCCCUCUUCAGGCUCUCACACCUCCUGAGGCCACAGGUGGUCUGCUUAUGCCUCAGGGGUGUGACUGUUUAAUGCCUUUCCCUCGGCUAAAGGCUUUUGCUUCUGAGAGUCUGGGAAGCACAUGGGGCCUGAGGAGCCACUGGUCACUCCAUGCACACCUGUGUCACCCUGAGGGCUCUCUGUACGGGCGGGCCUCCCAUCUGUUCCCAACUGUCAUACUGAUCAGCCUGUCUGAACGUCUCAAAAUGUACCUGAGUCUUCCUUGUCCAUCUGUGUGGUGGUCACAUCUUUCUUCUGUGUCCCAUCAAAGAUGAAACUGUGUGUCCCAUCAAAGAUGAAACAGUUUGUGCCCUUUCUCUCUCUGUCCUUGAAGGGUCUCAUUCCUUUUUGGAAUUCAGUUUGCUUUGUUCCUUUGUGACUCAUCAUCUGACUUUCCCCGUUGCUAGCGUGGGAGGGAUGUUCUUUGCAGCUUUUGGCAUUCUGAGUGGAAAUGCAAGUCUCUUAUGUAUUUUAUUGCAGCCUGAAGCUAACUAUUUCACUCUGUGAGUUAAUUUUUGGUGGGAAUUUCCACUGUAGGAGUCCAGGGUAAUAGCAGUAUCCCUUUGAGAUAUGUACCAUAUCAUGAGGCCACAGCAGGAAACAGAUGGCAUGGAAAAAUGGGUCAUUGAGGAAUGUAACAAUGCGGGGGCAGGGUUAGAGAGCCCAGUAUCCUAGGGCUCAUAAGAACAGGUGCUGUGGCAUCUGGAAGGGUAAUAUCUGCAAGGCUGAGGGAGGAAACUUUCUGGGGUCCAGGGAGGGUGGCCAUUGGAGAGGAUUGGCAGCAGCUGUGGCCCUCAGUGAAAGAUCUCAGCCAGUUUGUGGCCAGACAUAAAACCAGGGAGGGUAUAGAAGAACUCAACACUACUACUAACCAAGAGGACCCAAACGGCAUUCAUAAACCACUUCCCCCAACAACUGCACGGAACACACACUUAUCAAAUUUUUGCGGAACAUAUCCCAAGAUAGAUGACAUCAUGAGCCGUAAAACACACCUCAACAAAUUAGAACUGAAAUCAUGCAGAGUGUGUUCUUGGACCACAGCACAAUCGAACUAGGCAUCAGUAACAGCCAACAGGAAAAUCUCCAAACAAUUGGGACUAAUCAGUGCACUGCCAAAGAACACAUGGAUCAACGUAGAAGUCUCAAGGGAAAUAAAAAAAUACAGUGGAUUGAAUGAAAGUGAAAAUACAACACAUCAAAGUAGGGUCAAGAGAGAAAUUUAUAGCACUAAAUCCUUACAUUAGAAGAGAGGGAAAAUCUUAAAUCAAUAGUCUGGGCUACACCCUCAACAAAAAGAAGAGCAGAAUAAACCCAAAACAAGCAGAAGGAAGG